AGCAACACACACAAUUCUCUAACAGAGGAAGUAGGAGUGAGAGCUGCUAGUCAUCUGCCAUUCUGGUCACAGAGCCCAUGUCCAGGGACCGGCGGGAGGAACACAGUGCCUCUCCUCUUGGCCUGUCUCCCUCUUGAAUGCUUCUCAAUCUCAGCUCAGAUGCCACUUUCUCUGGGCUUCCUUUCUGCACCUGAACUUUCUCACAGCUCCCACUGCACUGUGUGGCGAUCACCUGAGGAAUCCCAGACUUUAUUCCUCACUCUGUGAAAAACCACGUGAAAACAAACACCAUCACUGAGAGGUUCCAGAUAAGAAGCAGAGCCCAGGUAGAUUGGAAUUUCAAAUAAAUUACAAGUUCUUUUCAAAUAUAA